UAGGGAAUCUUCCGCAAUGGACGAAAGUCUGACGGAGCAACGCCGCGAGAGUGAAGAAGGAUUUCGGUUCGUAAAACUCUGUUGUUAGGGAAGAAAAAAUGUAUAGUAACUAUAUACAAAAGAGACGGUACCUAACCAGAAAGCCACGGCUAACUACGUGCCAGCAGCCGCGGUAAUACGUAGGUGGCAAGCGUUGUCCGGAAUUAUUGGGCGUAAAGCGCGCGCAGGUGGUUUAGAAAGUCUGAUGUGAAAGCCCACGGCUCAACCGUGGAGGGUCAUUGGAAACUAAUAAACUUGAGUGCAGGAGAGAAAAGUGGAAUUCCUAGUGUAGCGGUGAAAUGCGUAGAGAUUAGGAGGAACACCGGUGGCGAAAGCGGCUUUUUGGCCUGCAACUGACACUGAGGCGCGAAAGCGUGGGGAGCAAACAGG
rnacentral:rRNA from 1 species